CCUACGGGAGGCAGCAGUGAGGAAUAUUGGUCAAUGGGCGGAAGCCUGAACCAGCCAAGUAGCGUGCAGGAUGACGGCCCUACGGGUUGUAAACUGCUUUUAUACGGGAAUAACGCGCCUUACGUGUAGGGCUUUGCAUGUACCGUAUGAAUAAGGACCGGCUCAUUACGUGCCAGGAGCCGCGGUAAUACGGAAGGUCCGGGCGUUAUACGGAUUUAUUGGGUUUAAAGGGAGCGUAGGCCCCAUGUCAAGCGUGCUGUGAAAUGUCCGGGCUCAACCCGGGCCUUGCAGCGCGAACUGGCGUGCUUGAGUCCGCGGAAGGCAGGCGGAAUUCGUCGUGUAGCGGUGAAAUGCUUAGAUAUGACGAAGAACCCCGAUUGCGAAGGCAGCUUGCUGCAGCGGAACUGACGCUGAUGCUCGAAAGCGCGGGUAUCGAACAGGAUUAGAUACCCGAGUAGUC
rnacentral:rRNA from 1 species